ensembl:snRNA U4 U4 spliceosomal RNA
AGCUUUGCGCAGUGGCAGUAUCGUAGCCAAUGAGGUUUAUCCGAGGCGCGAUUAUUGUUAAAAUGGACCUACAGAGGUAUUUAGAACAGAGAAUAAUCACCAUCUGCUUUAAAAAAUCUGGACUUUUAUACUUUGGAAUUACCUAAA